GACAGAGGGUGCAAACGUUUGUUCGGAAUUACUGGGCGUAAAGCGCGUGUAGGCUGCUCGGAAAGUCGGGUGUGAAAGCCCUGGGCUCAACCUAGGAAGUGCACUCGAAACUUCCGAGCUGGAGUUUCGGAGAGGAAGGCGGAAUUCUCGGUGUAGAGGUGAAAUUCGUAGAUAUCGAGAGGAACGAUCGGUGGCGAAGGGCGGCCUUACUGGGACCGA
rnacentral:rRNA from 1 species